UGAUGAUCAAUUAUGAAAAUGCAAAAGGAUUGAUAGAUCAGUAAACACGCAACAAAAAGAUGGGUGCUCAUGGUGGCCUCCAAAUAAAUACAUGCCAGGCUGCUAAAGAGGGUCAGGAUGAUGGAGAUGCAAGAGCCAAAGACAGCACAGACCAAACACCAGGCCAGAAUUCUGCAUGAGUCAGAUUGAGUAAUUUUCACUCUAGAGACCCUGGGGUGACCACCAAGGACGAAUGCAAAGUAAGUGACCUACAAAACAA